AGUGCCUGCCGGACCCCUGGGACUGGGCUCCUCUCAGAUUCUGUGCUCUGACACCAGACUCUCACUGCCCCCCAGGCUGUGAAUGUGGACAGUAUCUGACCUCCAUCCUCGCUCCUGCCCCCCUGGCCCAGGGCCCAGGGGUCCUGCCCUUCUUCUCCCGGGGCCCACUGCCCUGCUGGGCAGGGUGCAGUGGCAUGAAUUAGGGGCUGAGGAACAGGGGCCAGGAAGGGAGGGGGCAAGGCAGCCCCACUGUACACGGCUAUUGUACCCACCAGGAACUCAGGGCCACAUGGGCUCAGAGUCCAGCCCCGAGUGCUGGCCACCAGUGUCUUCAUCAUCCCAGCUCCCUGACAGACUGCCGUUUGGGCCUCCCAGGCCUCUCACCCACUCUGGACCUGUCUACUGUCACAGAGGGAAGGCUGAAUGAUGUUUGAGCCUCCCUUACAUUUCCUCCAAGGCCAUCACGGACGACCUGUGCCUCACCCUGGGGCACUGCUGUUGGCCACACCCAGGUCAGGGACACAACUAAAGUGUAUUCCCAGUGUGCCCUCUUACCGAUGAAAUCAUUGGAUUUCCCAAUGUCAUAAUCCCAAACGGUGACCUCCAGGGUCUUCUUGGCCAAGUCCCCAUGUUUAAUCUCGUAACAGAACUCCUGCUGGCCAGAAGGGGAGUGUUAGAGCCAAGGCCACGUGGCCCUCAGGGGUCUGCGAUGGGGUGAGGGCUGGAGGGAGAGCGAGGAGGGGCAGGGUGGGCACCCCUCCUGUCACUUCUGCCUGAGGGCCCAGGACAGGUCCCUAUUCCCUCAACCCACCUGUCCCUCUGUCCCUGAAGCUGUGAUCUCCACCUGCCUGUGAACCCCGUUCCUGUGACUCAUGGCACAAGAAUGAGUCUUUGUCAUCCUUGACUUCUGAGCUGGCUGUGGUGAACUCAUCCUUUUUCAGGGAUAGGGUGGUAGUGGGGCCUUUGAGAUCUUCUUGCCUCAGCCUCUCCUAGUGCUGGAUUACAGGUGUGCACCACAACUGCUGACUUUGUCCUUUGUGAACCCCUCUCUCCUGCCGGCUUCUGGGACCCUCUAACAUCAGGUGCUUCUUCCGCCUGGACACAGCUCCUCAGCUGCCUCUGGAAGCCCUGGAAUCCUGACACAGCCUGGUGGACAAAGUACAUCAUCCCCAGAGCUGUGAAACCAUCAUCACACCCUCCUUGGAGCUCUGAGGAAGGGAAAGGCCUUCGGGGACUAACAAGGAUGCAUCCCUCAGGGAGAGGGGCACCAGACAGACAUUCUUCCAUCUGCAGGCCUCCACCGCUUAGACCCCUUCACCCGAGGCUCACCGUGUGGGAGUGAGUUGCCUAAGGAACACCGAAUUGCAUACAUAAUACUGGUUUACUAUAGAAACGGGAGCGUAUGUGUUGACAAAAGCUGAAGGUAGGAGAGAGAUGAGGAUAUUUGUCCAUACAAAUACCUGUUUGUAGCAGCUUCAUGUAACACCCAAAACUGGAAACAAGCACAUGCCUUUCAGCUGGUGAGCUGAUCAACAAGACUUGUGGCUUAGCCACAAGAUGGAAGACUACUCAGCCCUAACAAAGGCUGACCUGUUGGUAUAUACAACCUCAGGGUCUGAUGUGGAGACCAAGCCAGAGCAAGAGACAACACACCAUCCAAUAUCUUUGUAUGAAAAUAUGGAAAAAACAACACUACCAGGACAGAAAACAGGCCAGUGGGUCAGAGCCGGGGAACUUUCUGGGCUCUCUGUAUCCUUUGCCCUUACAUCCAACCAAGGGCUGAAAAUAUUUGAAAAAAAAAAUUGCAUCUGUACU